CAGGGCGUAGCUCAGGGGUAGAGCGCUCGGUCGGGAACCGAGAGGCCGCUGGUUCGAUCCCAGUCGCCCUGA
rnacentral:tRNA from 1 species